CCUGCUCCGGUGACCUCUUCCGUGUAGGAGGCUCUGAGAAAGCAUAUUCAUAUGCAGGGACAAAGGCAGGGGAGACAGAGCUUACUCUUGUUGUCCUACACUGUACAUCUAUCUUCCCCACCUGACUGGAUGCCCCAUGGGCUUGAAACUCCAGCAUCGGAUAUAAAGGAGGUACUCUCGUCUUACAAACCAUCAACCUGGGGAUGAGAAAUCACAUGGAAAAUUGCCAAUGGAGGUAUCUUUUAAGUUUUCCCGCUCGAGAUGGGGAAGAAAUGUUUCACGUCCCUGCUGGGAAUGAAAACAAAACGUCUCCCUGAAGUGAUCAAGGCCUUCCAAG